UAGGGAAUCUUCGGCAAUGGACGAAAGUCUGACCGAGCAACGCCGCGUGAGUGAAGAAGGUUUUCGGAUCGUAAAACUCUGUUGUUAGAGAAGAACAAGGACGUUAGUAACUGAACGUCCCCUGACGGUAUCUAACCAGAAAGCCACGGCUAACUACGUGCCAGCAGCCGCGGUAAUACGUAGGUGGCAAGCGUUGUCCGGAUUUAUUGGGCGUAAAGCGAGCGCAGGCGGUUUCUUAAGUCUGAUGUGAAAGGCCCCGGCUCAACCGGGGAGGGUGAUUGGAAACUGGGAGACUUGAGUGCAGAAGAGGAGAGUGGAAUUCCAUGUGUAGCGGUGAAAUGCGUAGAUAUAUGGAGGAACACCAGUGGCGAAGGCGGCUCUCUGGUCUGUAACUGACGCUGAGGCUCGAAAGCGUGGGGAGCAAACAGG
rnacentral:rRNA from 1 species